rnacentral:rRNA from 1 species
UACAGAGGGUGCGAGCGUUAAUCGGAAUUACUGGGCGUAAAGCGCGCGUAGGCGGCUUUGCAAGUCGGGUGUGAAAUCCCCAGGCUUAACCUGGGAACUGCAUUCGAGACUGCAUUGCUAGAGUAUGGGAGAGGGAAGUGGAAUUUCCGGGUGUAGCGGUGAAAUGCGUAGAUAUCGGAAGGAACAUCAGUGGCGAAAGCGACUUCCUGGACCAAUACUGACGCU